rnacentral:rRNA from 1 species
CCUACGGGUGGCUGCAGUGGGGAAUAUUGCACAAUGGGGGAAACCCUGAUGCAGCAACGCCGCGUGAGUGAGGAAGUAUCUCGGUAUGUAAAGCCCUAUCAGCAGGGAAUAGAAAAGAAGGUACCUCAAACAGAAGCCCCAGCUAACUACGUGCCAGCAGCCGCGGUAAUACGUAGGGGGCAAGCGUUAUCCGGAUUUACUGGGUGUAAAGGGAGCGUCGGCGGAAAGGCAAGUCAGAAGUGAAAACCCAAGGCUCAACCAUGGGACUGCUGUUGAAACUGUCGAACUAGAGUACGGGAGAGGUAAGAGGAAUGCCUGGUGUAGCGGUGAAAUGCGUAGAUAUUAGGAGGAACACCAGUGGCGAAGGCGUCUUACUGGACCGAAACUGACGUUGAGGCUCGAAAGCGUGGGGAGCGAACAGGAUUAGAUACCCGAGUAGUC